rnacentral:rRNA from 1 species
UAUUUUCCUUUUUUGCCAGCAGCCGCGGUAAUACGUAGGGAGCGAGCGUUGUCCGGAAUGACUGGGUGUAAAGGGAGCGUAGGCGGGAUGGCAAGUCAGAUGUGAAACCUGAGGGCUCAACCUUCAGACUGCAUUUGAAACUGCUGUUCUUGAGUGAAGUAGAGGUAAGCGGAAUUCCUGGUGUAGCGGUGAAAUGCGUAGAGAUCAGGAGGAACAUCGGUGGCGAAGGCGGCUUACUGGGCUUUUACUGACGCUGAGGCUCGAAAGCGUGGGGAGCAAACAGG